rnacentral:sRNA from 1 species
CAACCAAUUGCCAAUCAGAAUAUGUUUAAAUCUACCAAUGACCUGGAAGUUUCCCACUUCGAGUUGUCUUGUCCUUCCAGAUCAAACCAAUGUAAAUCUUACAUGUAUUGAUUGAUGUAUUUUGUCUCCCUAAAAUGUAUAAAACCAUGCUGUGCCCAGGCCACUUGGGCACAUGUUGUCAGGACCUCCUGAGGCUGUGUCAUGGGUGUGUCCUUAACCUUAGCAAAAUAAAUUUUCUAAGUUGACUGAGACCUGUCUCAGGUAUUUCGGGUUGACAGUUUGGCAACCACGAAAGGAUUCUGAGUGGAGGUGCCCCUGACCUUUGACAGAUCUCCUAUCGGUGCUUGGUACCAGCUUGAGCUAUCUUUAUGGCUCAAAUCUACAGGACAAUUUGCUAAGGCCUGGGAGCCCCCCUCCACAAAAUUCCUGAUCUUCCCAAAUUUGGUUAACAUCUAAAGUUUAUUUUACUGUACAACUCCUUUUUCUGGAGUUUUACUUGUUUCCAACAAGGAAGGCAGGUUUUCCUGCUUCCCUGACGAUGGAAGGCAGGUAACUCCUUUCUGGAGUUUGAGCUCGCUCCAACAGAGAAGGAAAGUUUGAGUUUUCCCUACUUCUGGGAUGGUAGAGAGCAGUCUUUAGCCUAAGACCUGUUCUUAGGUAAGUAGCCGAAUUGGGGAUUUUCUUGGCUGAAGUUAAGGUUAACAACCAGCUGGUCUUAAUUUUCCUUACCAUUAGAGUGCUCAGUAAUCAUAUAAAUUGUACGAUCAAGCCCGGCAUGGUGGCUCACACCUGUAAUCCCAACACUUUGGGAAGCCAAGGCGGGUGGAUCACGAGGUCAGGACAU